GGCCUUGAACACGUGAUUUCCGAGUCGGCUUUCUUGUUGGAAUCCGCCAACCGCGAACUUCAUUCUGUACCCGGGGCCAUCAGUGGCAUGCAGCUUUGUUGUACUACGUCGUGCUUCUAGAAAUCUUGCUUUUCGCAUAUGCAUCUACCGCGCCUGCACAGUUCGUGAGCGGUGAAAUUUUACACGACUCAAGUUGUUUCGCAUCGGACGUCGUCAACGCGGUUUUGUGCGGAUGCCAGCUUUACCUUCGACCGGCCUAUCGAGCAACGAAUUUGAGCAUUGCACCAAGCACUGGACUGGCCUUGAACCCUUCAUUUCCGACGUGGCUUUUCUGUGUGUAAUCUGCCCACCGCGAACUUCAUUCUGUACCCGAGGGCGGCACCGGCAGGCAGCUCUAUUGUACUACGUCCUGCUUCAAAAAAUCUUGCUUUUCACAGGACGAACGCCCGCGGCAGGGAUGUGGCUGAUUUUGUGCUGAAUCAAGGCUUGAUGUCCAUCAACGAUGGGUCCACCACUUCGCGGCGCAUCGUACGCCAGAUCAAAACAUGACAUUCCACGGAGAAAGGCAGGAAGCGUCAUCUGUUUGAACGCAUCGAAGCGGAUGAAGAGCAAGGAAAAAAGGGAAUAAAAAAUUGAGAAAAAAGCGAUGGCAUGGCUACAAGAAAUUCCGGCCAAGUCAGAUCGUUUCCGCCUUAGUAGAGUUGAAUAUCUCUGGCCCUUUUGACCAUGGGAGAUCCACUUUUAACAAGCUUCUCUUUCUCUUCCUUUCACCGUAACUCUCCCCGCCUCUUCUCUACCACGUGUCUUUUGUUUUCUUUCGUUUAUCUCCUUUUCUUGAUUGAAAGCAAGAGAUGGAAAUGCAGGAUGGGAAGCGUUAUAUUUUCAUGUGAAUGACGUCACGUUUAAAUGUCGCUAGCGUUCUUUUAACUCAGUUUUAGA